GUUUAAUGAGGUGUUUCUUUUCUCAGGCACGUAAAUCACAGGUGGUUUGGCGUUUUGUAAAAGCCGUAUGCCUGGGUACCAUCCCAGACUUGAUUACUCAGCAGAUUCUGGAGUGUGGGAGUAUUUAUUGACAGCCCGGUCGGUGCCAUACCUCGCAAGAAGGAAAUAUUCUUGACUCUCUCUCCGCCAAAGCAGAUGGUCUUUGGCCUGGAGAGUUCACCAGGAUCACAUGGUAAAGAAGGGUCUCAAAGGAGAAGAACGGCCCAGUAAAGCCCUGGUAGCCAACCGUGUCGCCCCCACCGGCCUGCACCUGCACCUUCCCGUCACCCCAUGGGCCUUCUGCAGGGGUGCAGAGCAGACCCCAAACUGCGUGUCUCCCCAGGAAGAGGCCUCCGCAGGUUUUCCAGGAGCCCAGGUGAGGGAAGCUACAUGGCUCUAGAAGGACUGGAGGCCUCUCCUGCUGAGACCCAGCGUAGGACCAGGAAGAGCUGCAGGUGCCUGUGAGGACGGGGAGACGUCGCGCUCUUGUCGGGAGGAGAAGGGCCUCCAGGCCAGGGGCUCUGACUUUGUCCUGAUGCUCUUCCUCAUCUCCUGGGAUCCUGACCCAGAGGAGAGUUGAGAGGAGAAAAGGGAGGUCGAUUCAGAGCUCCCCUCUCCCCUGUCUGCAGCCUGUUGUGUCCUCAUCACCCUGGUUCAGGACGCCCUCUGCGAGCAGCCCUUUCUGAGUAGACUCUCCAUCCAGGGGCUCCUGCAGCACAGCCUCCUUAUCCCCACCUAUCACGUCAUGCUGUGACUUUUGGCUAUUUAUCCUUCUCUUCUGAGAAACUCUAUGUGCCUCGAGGGCGAAACCAUGUCUUAUUCAUUUCCCUGCGACGGAGCACAGUGUCUGGCACACAGUGUGCGGUGAAUCAGUGAAUGGAGCAGGAAUUUUCAGAGUCCCACCCACACGGCAUCACCCCCCCCCCGCCGUGGGUUUGUCCAGCUCACCUUCUUCACGGGAGCCCUGCAGCUCGGUAGGAACUUCUGGGUGCAGGCUUGGUGGGGCGGCCUUGUUUCCCUGGGCAACCUGCUUUCUCUUUCAGAAAGCGUUUCUCAUUUGCAGUUCUGGGGCCUGCAACUUUUGCCAUAUGUCGGUUGUCUCUGUCUUCAUGAUCCCAGCCAUAUUAAUGUUAUAAUUAGAGCCAGUAUUUAUACAGACUUUCUUCUGAGCAGCUCCUCGUGCUUUGCAAGAGUGAUUUACUUUAUCGUCCCUGCAUUUCUGGUUCAGGAUAUUAUUCCAUUUUCCUUUGGGGCAUAGAUUGGGAGAGAGAAGGGAAGAGAGGGACGUGAUGGAGACAGAAAAAUAAAAGGAGGAGCUGUCCCUCCGGAAGUAACCCUCCAGCUCCACGGGCCAGAGCAUCUCUG
rnacentral:lncRNA from 1 species